ensembl:lncRNA
AUAUCCUUCUGGCUAAAUCCCAAAUGGCACCCUAAAUGACCAGUUCAAAAGUAGUGCACUUUAUAGGGAACAGGGUGUCAUUUGGGCCAAAUAUAGGAUAAUUUGACUGUAGCCUUCUGCGUUCAGCAGAGACCACUUUUUCCUUGUUGGCACUUUAUCUGUUGGUUAGUAGGUGUUAUUAUAUUAUUGAACCUCUUGAGCCAUACGCUAUUGGGUUAGUCAGACUGAUCAGCAAGUCUCAAUAAGGUGUUGGGAUCAACAAGUCUCAAAAAGGUGUUGGGUUAGUCAGGCUGAUCAACAAGUCUCAAUAAGGUGUUGGGUUAGUCAGGCUGAUCAACAAGUCUCAAUAAGGUGUUGGGUUAGUCAGGCUGAUCAACAAGUCUCAAUAAGGUGUUGGCAUCAACAAGUCUCAAUAAGGUGUUGGGUUAGUCAGGCUGAUCAACAAGUGUCAAUAAGGUGUUGGGUUAGUCAGGCUGAUCAACAAGUCUCAAUAAGGUGUUGGGUUAGUCAGGCUGAUCAACAAGUCUCAAUAAGGUGUUGGCAUCUACAAGUCUCAAUAAGGUGUUGGGUUAGUCAGGCUGAUCAGCAAGUCUCAAGUCUCAAACACCUUAGUAAUAUAUUCUGUCCAUGGACUCAUGCUACUCAUAUUCACUGGGGUUGUGUGUCCCAAAUGGCAACUCAUUCUACAUUUGACCAGGGCCCAUAUGGGGGAUAGGAGGUCAUUAAUGACCGGGGCCCAUAUGGGGGGGGAUAGGAAGUCAUUAAUGACCAGGGCCCAUAUGGGGGAUAGGAAGUCAUUAAUGACCAGGGCCCAUAUGGGGGAUAGGAGGAAGUCAUUAAUGACCAGGGCCCAUAUGGGGGGAUAGGAAGUCAUUAAUGACCAGGGCCCAUAUGGGGGAUAGGAAGUCAUUAAUGACCAGGGCCCAUAUGGGGGGAUAGGAAGUCAUUAAUGACCAGGGCCCAUAUGGGGGAUAGGAAGUCAUUAAUGACCAGGGCCCAUAUGGGGGAUAGGAAGUCAUUAAUGACCAGGGCCCAUAUGGGGGAUAGGAAGUCAUUAAUGACCAGGGCCCAUAUGGGGGGGAUAGGAAGUCAUUAAUGACCAGGGCCCAUAUGGGGGAAUAGGAAGUCAUUAAUGACCAGGGCCCAUAUGGGG